AAGGUUGCGAACAAUAAAAGGUAUCCAAUGUGACAAAAAAAUUCUCAGAUCUGUUUGUUUCUCGAGACAAAAAAUGAAAAAUCUCCGGUUCCCGAUCAAGCUGACGAAGUCUCCAUUCUUGCCAGUCUCCAAAGUCCAAUCCUUUUUUUGAAAUUUCAUUUCUUCUUCUCUGUGGGUUCAUCAAUUCGUUUGUGAAUUGUGAUUGGUCUGGAUUGGAUUUU
rnacentral:lncRNA from 1 species